GAUGACAUCACGAUUCUCACUAUCAUCCAGGAGCCGGUGAAAUUCAAAACGAUGUCAUUACAGUGAACAACUGCUACCAGGAAAAAAAGCUGUUGAAUUUGGUGUUGCAUUCACCAUUGGCUGCAUUUUGAAAAAGAGCCAGUGAGUAGAGGCAGAAUCGACAUCUUGGGCACUGCUGGCGAAUAUCAGUCCCUGCUCUUCUGUUUCAGUUGGCUGAGAGUUCAUGAAAACUCACACCGAGUCCCUUGGAACUCCAAGCAAGGUAAAUCUGUGACAGAAAAGAGGAGGAAUAGUUUCCUCUCAUAUGUCCUGGUCCCCCGAAAUCUGCUAAAUCCGUUUGAAUACUGGAACAAUGAAUUCGAGUCAGAAGCUUUAACAUCUAAGCAGAAGUCUUGAAUAAUGAGAAGAAGCAGAGGGGAACACAUUCCAGGCAAAGGAAACAGUUAGGGCAAAGGCCCUGGGGCUGGAACCAGGAAAGGAAAGCAGGAAGCAAACACUGCAGUCAGCCACAACCGGACUCUGAGAAGCACAUCUGAAGUAAUCCAUGCUCACAGAGGAGCCAGGACCAGACUGACAAACCAUGAGAAACAGAGCACAACAGUAUUCUCUAACUUCUCCGCACUUCAGGAUCAAGAUCAAAGAUUAUCCCAGAAGCUAGAGUCCUUGUCAAAAACUACCCUUCACCUAGAAAGGACAAACAGCAUGAACUCUAAAACAGUAUUCACAACGGUCCUCUAACCAUAACCAGUGUGACUCUUAAGAACCUGGAAGUAGCUCUCAGGUGUUUGCCCUGCUAACGUCUAUGCUUCAGUUCCAAAUGGCAAGGAGCACCCCUGUCCCACCUGCGAUAAAUCUCCAAGCCAGAUAAGGAAAACACAAUUCAAGUAAUAUGAACACAAGCCGUGCGCCUAGUUUGGGCAGAUCUCCCACUACACUACUCUAUUCCCCAGCUAUGAGGCCCCUUAGAACUUGCGGCUUCUCCAGGCCGUGUGCUUCCACUGGUGAAGGAGGAGAGGAAGGAGGGAGCAGACUGAAGCGGAGGUGGAAGGAAAAUGGAGCAUAUACCUGGCCUGGAUAUGUAGCUGAAGACUGCCUUGAGCUACUGGCUUUCCCGCCUCCAAUUCCCGAGUUCCAGGACUAUAGACAUGUGCCACCAUAGCUGUUUUGUGCAGUGCUGGGAAUCGAAGUCGGGACUGCAUGUCAAGCCAACAUUCUACCUACUGAGCUAAGUCCGCAGCUCUUCACACACUUGUUUGAGAACCCCUAGGUAUAGUAUUUAAGUGCUCUCUAGAUCUCUGGCAAGCAUAACUAGCUAAAAUAAGAUUGCUCAUGGUAGGCAAUGGUAAACCAUUUGAUUGGUAUAGCGUCUUGUUCUUCAGCUAUAACUAAGAGGUAAGAUCUACUACCUACUAGGGUGAAAAUAAUUUGCCACAACCCACGUAUUUCCAUUUCCAACAGAAGGGAGCACACUGUCUGGAGAGUGGCACAGCCGACCUCCUGAUACUGGGGCUUUUGAGAGCUGUGAGUCUGUAAAGACAUACUCUUGGCAUAACCCUACUAGGUAAAAGAUUAUUGUGAAGACUUAGGAAUACACUAAAAACAAUGCCAUUACAUCAUCGAAUCAAGGACACUCUUUGGCACACUUACUAUUAUAUACUCCCAACGUUUAAUGACAAACUCCAGCUAGUGAACACUGUAACACUUGGAAAUUGUUUUGCAGAAUGUGCUAAAGUGUAUGAAAUUGCCAUACAUGGUAGUACAGAUUUUAAUUAAAAAUUUUUUCCCUUCAACUUCAGGCUAUCUGUAAAGUUUUAUAUCAAGAUAAUUUUAUUCCAAGUUACUAGAUUUCAGAUGCUUGCUGAUAUUAAGGAAAGACCACGCAAGGGCUUCAGAGAUGGCUCAGUGGUUAGGAACAGGUAUCAUUCUUGGAAAGAAUCCAAAUUCAGUUGCUAGCACCCAUGUCAGGGUCAGAGCUGCCUGUAACUGCAGCUCCAGCAGUAUCCAGCACCUAUGGUAUCUACAAAUAUUUUUAAAAAGAGAAAGACUAAGUUUUUAGAGUGGAAUUGUUGGAGCUGUUAGAUCUGAACUCUCCCUCCAAGCCCACCGGUCAGUGUUUAUGACUAUGUUAAAUUGGAAUUUUAAAAAUCCAGAGCAAUAGGUUAAGUAAACAGUCAUUGCCUCAGAUUAACAAAUGUUAAACCACCAUCAGUGUGUGAAAUACUAAUUGGAGGCCCUGUUCAUCUCAUUCUGGUCUGCAGAACUGAAUUUGCACAGUAUUGAAGUUGCAGAUUCUCUUCUGCAAACCCCCUCCACACUCCACACCCCUGGCACCCCAUGGCACUGUGGUCUAUGGCAUCUGAAUAUUUAGUGAAUCCCAGCCUGCUGGUCUAUUGCCCCGGAGUGAACUUUCAUAAGGUAGUUUGAGUGACCCUCCCCCCAACCCCCCCCCCCAAAAAAUCUCAGCGUCUGGUCCUCACAUUCCUCUGUGGAAUAGUCACUUCGAAGAGAAAGAGGUGUGGCUUUGUGGUCUGGGAACACUCAGCCAGGAACAUGGGUUCUCUUAUUGGAGUUAGUUUUGUUUGUUUAGUUUACUAGAUCACUCUAACAACUUUUUGUCAGGACUCGGUUUACUCAGUUUAGAAAACAGGUUAUUAAAAUCUAGUUUACUAAAUAGUGAGUACUAAUGAACACAUUAAAUGUUUGUGAUAGAAAAAGAUGGGAGCACAACUGAGUUAUUUUUAUACACUGGUUUCUAAAGAGGAAAAAAAAAAGAACAGUUUUGUCCUUUGGAAAAAUAGCCUGCCCCCAAUUUCAGCUUCAUUGUUACAAUGCUUUUGCUUUUCUAUUUUCAAUGUUAAUUUUUUAAGUUAACAUGCUAAGUGUUUUACACAAUGUACAUAAAUUCGCUAUCAGUUGCAUUUAAAGGUAAAGAGGUAAUCUCUUUGUUCUUUCUCUAUGACACAAGGAAAUCCUUCCUGGGGUUCUGUGGGUUGAGAACCGGAGGCACAAUUAACCUUACUGUCUUAGGGAGCACACUGGCAUGAGAGCUUUCUAGAGUCAAUGUAAAGUAGAAACAGGGGUGCCUGUUUUAAAAUGAUGAAGGCUUCCUAGAAUAAGAUUCAGCUUCCAGAAUAGAAAAUUGUGCCAAUGUGCUCAAACAAAAUAGAAUGCGGGCAGAGACCAAAUGAUCACCACUGAUGUUCUAUGUCUGAAAUGAGAAAGAAUAAAAAUUAUCUGCAAGUGUAAAGGCCCCAUUGUUGGUGACUAAGCCAGGCAGUAUUCCCUAUUCAAAUUCAAGUUUCCUGCAAUUAAUCAACCACUUAUGGGGUUAAAAAGAAAUCUUUCAAAAUGUAUCAUGAUUCUUUACAUUACAAUGUCAUUACAAUUUUCAAUCUCUUCCUUCUCUUCUUAAAAGUGAGAACAAGACACCUGAUCUUCAACCCUGUGUCUGGGAUCUCAAAUUUGGCUCUGAAUAUGUGUUUCCAAGCUCAUUAAUUACAAUAUUGGUCCCAAGAGGUACGGGUGCAAAGAACACUCUUUGUACUCAAAAUAAUCUGAACAAGGCCGAAGAAGCAUUUUAUUUACAUGUGUAAACAUGAAGAGAGAAGCAGUACAGGAGGCUCAGGUAGCUGCUGAGAGUUCGAAUGAUAACUGAUUUGGUUACUUAGCGUCAAGGUCACCAUGGAUAGGCACACGUUCAUAUAAAAGUCACUUCAUUUUGUGGAUGCUCUCACCCCUGCAGCGGUGACUCAGGCAUUAAUUUGGCAAGUUCUGAACUAAGACCUUUUAACAUUUUAUUCUUUCCAGAAUAAAGACCAAAUUGUUCUGAAUCCUA